CAGCCGCCGCGGUAAUACGUAGGGUGCAAGCGUUAAUCGGAAUUACUGGGCGUAAAGCGUGCGCAGGCGGUUAUAUAAGUCAGAUGUGAAAUCCCCGGGCUCAACCUGGGAACUGCAUUUGAGACUGUAUGGCUAGAGUGUGUCAGAGGGGGGUAGAAUUCCACGUGUAGCAGUGAAAUGCGUAGAUAUGUGGAGGAAUACCGAUGGCGAAGGCAGCCCCCUGGGAUAACACUGACGCUCAUACACGAAAGCGUGGGGAGCAAACAGGAUUAGAUACCCCCGUAGUCCCUGUCUCUUAUAC
rnacentral:rRNA from 1 species